GUCUAGUGGUUAGAGGAGCCAGGUAGUCUAGUGGUUAGAGGAGGCAGGUAGUCUAGUGGUUAGAGGAGACAGGUAGUCUAGUGGUUAGAGGAGCCAGGUAGUCUAGUGGUUAGAGGAGGCAGGUAGUCUAGUGGUUAGAGGAGGCAGGUAGUCUAGUGGUUAGAGGAGCCAGGUAGUCUAGUGGUUAGAGGAGGCAGGUAGUCUAGUGGUUAGAGGAGCCAGGUAGUCUAGUGGUUAGAGGAGGCAGGUAGUCUAGUGGUUAGAGGAGCCAGGUAGUCUAGUGGUUAGAGGAGGCAGGUAGUCUAGUGGUUAGAGGAGGCAGGUAGCCUAGUGGUUAGAGGAGCCAGGUAGUCUAGUGGUUAGAGGAGGCAGGUAGCCUAGUGGUUAGAGGAGGCAGGUAGUCUAGUGGUUAGAGGAGGCAGGUAGCCUAGUGGUUAGAGGAGCCAGGUAGUCUAGUGGUUAGAGGAGCCAGGUAGUCUAGUGGUUAGAGGAGCCAGGUAGUCUAGUGGUUAGAGGAGCCAGGUAGUCUAGUGGUUAGAGGAGCCAGGUAGUCUAGUGGUUAGAGGAGCCAGGUAGUCUAGUGGUUAGAGGAGCCAGGUAGCCUAGUGGUUAGAGGAGGCAGGUAGCCUAGUGGUUAGAGGAGGCAGGUAGUCUAGUGGUUGGAGGAGGCUGGUAGCCUGGUGGUUAGAGGAGGCAGGUAGCCUAGUGGUUAGAGGAGGCAGGUAGCCUAGUGGUUAGAGGAGACAGGCAGCCUAGUGGUUAGAGUGUAGAGGAGACAGGUAGCCUAGCGGUUAGAGGAGACAGGUAGCCUAGCGGUUAGAGGAGGCAGGUAGCCUAGCGGUUAGAGGAGGCAGGUAGCCUAGCGGUUAGAGGAGGCAGGCAGCCUAGCGGUUAGAGGAGACAGGCAGCCUAGCGGUUAGAGGAGACAGGUAGCCUAGCGGUUAGAGGAGACAGGUAGCCUAGCGGUUAGAGGAGACAGGUAGCCUAGCGGUUAGAGGAGGCAGGUAGUCUAGCGGUUAGAGCGUUGGACCAGUAACCGAAAGGUUUGCUGGAUCGAAUCCCCCGAGCUGACAAGGUAACUAUCUUUCUG
ensembl:lncRNA